UUGAACGCUGGUGGCAUGCUUUACACAUGCAAGUCGAACGGCAGCGGGGGCUUCGGCCUGCCGGCGAGUGGCGAACGGGUGAGUAAUGCAUCGGAACGUGCCCAGUCAUGGGGGAUAACUACGCGAAAGCGUAGCUAAUACCGCAUACGCCCUGAGGGGGAAAGCGGGGGAUCGCAAGACCUCGCGUGAUUGGAGCGGCCGAUGUCGGAUUAGCUAGUUGGUGGGGUAAAGGCCUACCAAGGCGACGAUCUGUAGCUGGUCUGAGAGGACGACCAGCCACACUGGGACUGAGACACGGCCCAGACUCCUACGGGAGGCAGCAGUGGGGAAUUUUGGACAAUGGGCGAAAGCCUGAUCCAGCCAUGCCGCGUGCAGGAUGAAGGCCUUCGGGUUGUAAACUGCUUUUGUACGGAACGAAAAAGUCUUCUCUAAUACAGGGGGCGAAUGACGGUACCGUAAGAAUAAGCACCGGCUAACUACGU
rnacentral:rRNA from 1 species